rnacentral:rRNA from 1 species
UACGGGGGGGGCAAGCGUUGUUCGGAAUUACUGGGCGUAAAGGGCGCGUAGGCGGCCUUCUAAGUCGGACGUGAAAUCCCUCGGCUUAACCGAGGAACUGCGUCCGAUACUGAAAGGCUUGAAUCCGGGAGAGGGAUGUGGAAUUCCAGGUGUAGCGGUGAAAUGCGUAGAUAUCAAGAGGAACACCUGAGGUGAAGACGGGUUGCUGGGCCGACACUGACGCUGAAGCGCGAAAGCCAGGGGAGCAAACGGG